GACAGAGGGUGCAAACGUUGUUCGGAAUUACUGGGCGUAAAGCGCGUGUAGGCUGUUCGGCAAGUCGGAUGUGAAAGCCCUGGGCUCAACCCAGGAAGUGCAUUCGAAACUCCCGAACUGGAGUCCUGGAGAGGAAGGCGGAAUUCUCGGUGUAGAGGUGAAAUUCGUAGAUAUCGAGAGGAACAUCGGUGGCGAAGGCGGCCUUCUGGACAGUGACUGACGCUGAGACGCGAAAGCGUGGGGAGCAAACAGG
rnacentral:rRNA from 1 species